AGGAUUCAAGAAUCAUCCAAAUUUCCCAGGAGAAUCAAGGAGUUUUAAAAAUCAGCCUUAUUUUAUAUGGAAAAUCAGACUGCCCUAAGAAAUCAGAAUGCUAACCUUUCAAGUUCUGUCUGUUCCCGUCUAACCUGCUGAAAUUCAAGUGAGUGUGAUGGCAAGUGUGGAAAGGAAAGAAUGGAACCCUCAAAACCAAAGUGUGGCGGGAGCAGCAAACCAGCAAAAGUAAAGGACAUUCAAGGACUCUACCUUCCUCCAAUUCAGACCAGAUCUCUCCUAUGACAUUUUCCACCAAAAAGGUCCGACUCUGCCGAUUACGACGUAUGUGUUCCUUAGCUAGUUACCAAUAGAAAGAAAAUGACUAAGUGUGAGAAGGCAUGAAAAAGCCGACAGAGUUAUCUAUUCUAAGUAUAGGCUAGUAGUACAAGAAAGUUUAGGGAUGUAACAUUUUAAGUAUCUCUUGAUCAAAAUGCCUAAAUAAAUACAAGAGAAUUGAGAAUUACAAAAUCAGUUCCUUUUAGCUAAAUCUAUUAUUCCCUUCAGCUUUAUGCCAUUCAUCCAGCUUAUAAUUAAAGCCUUCACCCUUAUUAAAAGGUUUACAAAAAUUCUCUUCUGCAUGUUUUUUGUGGUUUUUUGAGACACUGAAAAAUGACUAUUUUCCUGGCAUUGUUGUACUGGGUAGAUCCAGGAUAACAUUGGGAAGCAGCCUUGCUGUGCCUUCAAUUAGGUAAUUUCAGUUUAAGGGGUUAUAUCUGGCAGAAAUAAUUUGGGAUAGGUUUUCCAAGUCUAGCUGUGUAAUGAAAUAAGGUUCAAGUGCCAUAUUGCCUCCUGGCCAUAUUCCUGAAACUGAUGAAGCCAACCUAUACUCCCUUCAACCACUAGGUGGCGCAUUUACUACCUGACCACAACAAGAAGUUUUGCUUUUCCCAUUAAAAAUUCAUAGGAAAGGCUCAAAGUUUAAUAUUAGUUCAGCUGUUGGUUGAUGAAUUAUAACAGCAGUUGAUAUUUUAAUAGAAGCACUUCCCUUUCUAUAAUUAUCUCUGGUGAAUUUCAGAAAAACUUACAAAGGAUGCAAGGAUAAAUAUUAAGCUCUCACCUUAUAGAUGGAACCAGAGUUGGUGGUUUGUCACUGGCCGGACAGUUGGUUAGUGAUAGGGCCCAGAACAGGACCUUGGCCUCCUAAUUACCCACCUAUCCAGUGCUCUUUUCAUUGUACUUCAUCGCCUUGCCCUUCCUCUUGGAAUGGAGAUUAAUGUUGUAUUUAAAUUUAAAUAAAAUUGGUAUAAAU